rnacentral:misc_RNA from 1 species
CCCCCCUAGAUUCUACCCUUCCAUCCAAUCCACUACCAGCGCUCCCUGCGCCACCGCAGCCUUCCACCAAUCCACGCCGUCUCCCACCACCAUGUUGGUCCCACGACGAGACGGUCGCCCUGAUCGAUGCCUACUGCGACAAGUGGUACACGCUCCGUCGUGGUAACCUCAAGGCCAAUCACUGGCAAGAAGUCGCUGAAGCCGUUGCUCGCCGAUGCCCAGCUGCGUCCCCGCCGAAGACCGCCGUGCAGUGCCGC